AUAUGUAAUAAGUGAUGAGCCCUUAUUCUAUAAAAGGAUUCCUUACUCUCCUCAUUAGAGGAGGUCAAAGUUUUAGGCCAUGGGAAGAGGGAAAACAUCUCAGAGAGGGCCAACACUGAAAAUAGGUUUAAGAGCACACUGUCUCUAGCCUUCUUGUAUAUCCACCAUUCAGAGUGAAACAAUAUCAACAUCAGUGUGGACGUAGCCCAAACAUUGGGGUGAACCACAAUACAUCUUGUGUUCUUUACUUUCUUGCAGAUUCACGGUCGGAUUUAUGUUGUUCCAAGACCCCUCCGGUUUUGUGCAUCAACAAAUUUCAAUUUGUGUUUAAUUUGGUCUGGUUGUUUCUUGUUUGCAAUUGUUGGCUUUUGAUGAUCGAUGUUUGAAUCCUCCUACAGUUUGAAGCAUGAUCAAGGGAUUUUGGUUUCUCGUACCCAACCAAAAUCGAAAUAAUUUUGGAAUUACCGAUUUCUAUAAACCAAAAUAUUUUGUUCGGGAUUGGUUUUUUCUUUUUAUUCCCAAUAUGUUUGGUUCGAUUUUUGAUAACUACUUUUCGAUUAUUUUAAUAGUGAAUGAUCAUACAAUUAAAAUCUUAAUAUAUAUUGUAUAUUGAUGCAUACUUAAAAUGCUCGUGGAAGUGUUAUUGAAGAAGUACGUGUGCUUGCCAGUCUUACUUUUAAUAGUGAAUGAUCAUAUAGUUAAAUUCUACUGUAUAUGGUAUUUUGAUGCAUACUUAAAACGUUCAUAGAAGUGUUAUUGAAGAAGUGCAUGUAUGUGACAUCUCACAUCGCCCAGGGGAGCGAUCCUUAAAUGUAUAUUCACAUCCCUACCUAGUAUGAAGCCUUUUGGGAGCUUACUAGCUUCGGGUUCCGUAGGAACUGCGAAGUUAAGCGAGAAGGAGGCCAGAGCACUCCCAGAAUGGGUGACCCACUGGGAAGUUGUUUGUGAGUUCCAAAAAUAAAACCGUGAAUGAAUGGUAAGCCCAAAGCGGACAAUAUCGUGCUAUGGUGGUGGAAGGGGCCCGGGAUGUGGUGGACCCGGGCCGGGAUGUGACAAAUGGUAUCAGAGCCAAUCCCUGGCCGGAAGUGUGCCGACGAGGACGUCGAGCCCCUGAGAGGGGUGGAUUGUGACAUCCCACAUCGCCCAUGGGAGCGAUCCUUAAAUGUAUAUUCACAUCCCUACCUAGCACGAGGCAUUUUGGGAGCUCACUGGCUUCGGGUUCCGUAGGAACUCCGAAGUUAAGCGAGAAUGAGGCCAGAGCACUCCCAGGAUGGGUGACCCACUGGGAAGUUGCUCGUGAGUUCCAAAA
rnacentral:lncRNA from 1 species